UAUGAUGGAAUAUCCAACUAUUGCGACUCUUUACCUCCUUCCAAAAGUCCACAAGCAACUCCAGAAUCCUCCAGACACUACAGAUGCCCUUCGAAGAAUGGAGGAAAUACAACUAGAGGAAGACAUGCUCAUCGUCACCAGUGAUGUCAAGUCUUUGUACACCUACAUACGCCAUCAGGACUGUCUACAUGCUGUGGAAGAAUUCCUUACGAUGUCAGAGAUUGAACGUGAUCUUGGUUAUCAAGUCUCCAUCCCUGCUGAUUCUUCUAGUCUCCCCUGACAUGCAGUUCAUCAUCCGCCUACUCUAUAUUUGUCUAUGUACUCAUGUUCCUUGCAUUAUGCACUUUAUAUGUAUGUAUGUGCGUAUACCUGUGUGUGUAGAUAUAUGCAUACAUAUUUAUUCUGCUAACAGGUGACAGUCCCUGCCAUGUAUAUACCAACCGGCCAGUUCUCUUUUUUAAUAUAAUUUAAUACAUAUACCUUUUUAGCGUGUCACUAAGUUCUCUGUUUAUUUUUCUAAGCAUUUGCUAAUUUUUUGUUACCAACACAUAGGCACUUUUUUUGCCUUUUGAUAUUUGUCCCAUUAAUGUUGCAGCAUUAUCUGCUAUCACUUAGGGUGGCGCUUUUUUGCAUAUGCUUGCAC